UUUAUCUGUAUCUCGUAUGAAUUGUGAGAAGGAUAGGUACAAAGUGUAUUGCCGUCGAAAUUUCCGACCUUUUUCUUUUCCUCCGUAGUCACUUCCUUUACUUGCAUAUUUAGAGUCCUUGUGUUGAGAAUUUGAAGUUGGUGUAUGAAGGAAAGAUGUUCUUGAAGUCAUAAACUUCCUUUUUGGUGUAAAAGUUGUGAGCAUAUUCCCACCGUGGGGUUGUCAAAAACUGUAUUGAAAAAGAGGGUUUGGUUAUGCUACACAAAGGGGUGUUUAACAUUCCUUUCAUUUUGGUGGCUUUGAUUCCUUCUCGGAGUUGCUUUAAAUUGUUGUUUAGCAAGAUUCAAGCUCAUUUUGAGAUCAUGGUAAGGAGGUCGUAGAGGACGUUCCUCCUUAGCCUUCGGCAGAGUUGCGACUGGUGGUUAUGUAUUAUUAUUGGAAUGGAUAGGUGGAUGUGUAUGUGGAGACAAGUUACAGGGACGUUGAUGUUGUUGAGACCUUAGUUAUCUGUGUAAUAUGUUCACAAUCUGGACUCCGGUCAUGGGACGUGACAAUUAUUUUCCUGAGCUUAUUAUGGCAAGGAGGUCGUAAAGGACGUUCCUCCCCAACCUUAGACAGAGUUGGGAUUGGUGGUUGUGGUAUUCUCUUUUGCAUAAAAGGCAAGUGUAUAUUAGUAAGACAAUGUUGUAUAAAGUUGGUUCAGUUACAUCCCUGUUAUGUAAUAAAUGUUAUUACAGGCUCUAAGACUUUAAAGUUGUAAUAUGAGUACCUUACCUGUUUGUUUUCAUAGACGGUAUUAUUAUGAGAAUGGAUAGGUGGAUGUGUAUAUAGAGAUAGGUUACAGGGAUGUUGAUGUUGUUGAGACCUUUGUUAUCCGUGUAAUAUGUUUAUAAUCCGGACUCCGGUCUUCGGGCGUGACAAAGGUGGUAUCAGAGCAUGGUUCCUUAAACCUAGGGACGACGGGUAGAGGCCUGUCUACAGCUACAAGUGUAAUGAUUUGCAUUGUCUUACAUGUUUAUGUGAUUACUUGUUACUUGUUUUGCAAGCA